CCUACGGGAGGCAGCAGUGGGGAAUAUUGCGCAAUGGGCGAAAGCCUGACGCAGCGACGCCGCGUGAGGGAUGAAGGUCUUCGGAUCGUAAACCUCUUUCAGCAGGGAAGAACGGUCACUGUGCUAAUCAGCAGUGAAUUGACGGUACCUGCAAAGGAAGCACCGGCUAACUCCGUGCCAGCAGCCGCGGUAAUACGGAGGGUGCGAGCGUUAAUCGGAAUUACUGGGUGUAAAGCGCGCGUAGUCGGUAUGUAAAGUCAAGGGUGAAGUCCCCGCGCUCAACGUGUGAACUGCCUUUGAAACGGGCAAACUGGAGUGUGUGAGAGGAUAGUGGAAUUCCAGGUGUAGGAGUGAAAUCCGUAGAUAUCUGGAGGAACAUCAGUGGCGAAGGCGACUAUCUGGCACAUAACUGACGCUGAGGAGCGAAAGCGUGGGUAGCAAACAGGAUUAGAUACCCGAGUAGUC
rnacentral:rRNA from 1 species